rnacentral:rRNA from 1 species
UACGUAGGGUGCAAGCGUUGUCCGGAAUUAUUGGGCGUAAAGAGCUCGUAGGCGGUCUGUUGCGUCGGCUGUGAAAACCCGGGGCUCAAUCCCGGGCCUGCAGCCGAUACGGGCAGACUAGAGUUCGGCAGGGGAGACUGGAAUUCCUGGUGUAGCGGUGAAAUGCGCAGAUAUCAGGAGGAACACCGAUGGCGAAGGCAGGUCUCUGGGCAUUAACUGACGCUGAGGAGCGAAAGCAUGGGGAGCGAACAGG